UGUAUAAUGGGUCAGCGACUUAUAUUCUGUAGCAAGGUUAACCGUAUAGGGGAGCCGAAGGGAAACCGAGUCUUAACUGGGCGUUAAGUUGCAGGGUAUAGACCCGAAACCCGGUGAUCUAGCCAUGGGCAGGUUGAAGGUUGGGUAACACUAACUGGAGGACCGAACCGACUAAUGUUGAAAAAUUAGCGGAUGACUUGUGGCUGGGGGUGAAAGGCCAAUCAAACCGGGAGAUAGCUGGUUCUCCCCGAAAGCUAUUUAGGUAGCGCCUCGUGAACUCAUCUUCGGGGGUAGAGCACUGUUUCGGCUAGGGGGCCAUCCCGGCUUACCAACCCGAUGCAAACUACGAAUACCGAAGAAUGUUAUCACGGGAGACACACGGCGGGUGCUAACGUCCGUCGUGAAGAGGGAAACAACCCAGACCGCCAGCUAAGGUCCCAAAGUCAUGGUUAAGUGGGAAACGAUGUGGGAAGGCACAGACAGCCAGGAUGUUGGCUUAGAAGCAGCCAUCAUUUAAAGAAAGCGUAAUAGCUCACUGGUCGAGUCGGCCUGCGCGGAAGAUGUAACGGGGCUAAACCAUGCAC
rnacentral:rRNA from 1 species